GCUAUUCUUAGUUGGCUGUGACAUGUUGGAUUUGGGUGGGGGGGAGGGGAGGUAAUUGUUUAGUUUAUGAUUUCAGAUAAUCAUACCAGAGAACUUAAAUAUUUGGAAAAACUGAGGAAAUCUCAGCUUUCAAGUUGGCAAGUAACUCCCAAUCCAGUUUUUUGCUUCUAUUUUUUUUCCUUUUCUUUUUAUUUUUUUGAUUUGGGCAGUAAGGAAGAUUGCCUUGGGUGUUCCCACUAAUCCAAUAUUGUGGGCAAGGAAAGUAAAUCACAACAGUCGUCUGUUCCCGUGAAAGUGUGUAGGGUUUGGGGGUUGGUCUGAUCACUAGAGUGGUGUGGAAGUUACAGUGUGGGGAUUCUCUAGAAGCUACCGGAUAUAGAUUGUAGUGUGUGGUUCUCUUUUGAAAUUUUUUUUCAGGUGACUUAAUGUAUCUUAAUAACUACUAUAGGAACUUCAGAGCAAAGGAAGUGGCUUUAAUGACCCUGAAGGGAUUUCUUCUGGUGAUAGCUUUUAUAUUAUCAAGUAAGAGAUUCCAUCUCAGUUUUGUAUAAGCAAGUCUUUCCUAGUGUAGGAGAAAUGAGUUUCCUUGUGACUAAACAAGAUGUAAGGUAUGCUUAUUUUUUGUAUAUUGUAUACUUUGUAUUUGCAAUUUAUAAUGUAAGAAUUGUGGUAGUUCAGCCUGAAUGUCUUUUAGAGGGUGGGCUUUUGUUGAUGAGGGAGGGGAAACCUUUUUUUUUCUGUAGACCUUUUUCAGAUAACACCAUCUGAGUCAUAACCAGCCUGGCAGUGUGAUGACCUAGAUGCAGAGGGAACAGCUCCUUGGUGAAUGAGUGAUAAGUAAAGGCAGAAAAGAUAAUGUCAUGUCUCCAUGGGGAAUGAGCAGGAGCCUGAGAGUCUUACUGCUGAUGAAGUCUGCAUAUGCAAUAAUUAAGCAAAUGAGAGCAACCAGUAUAAAGUUAUGGAAAUCUACCUUUAAAAGUUAUGGAAAUCUACCUUUAAAAGUUAAUGGCUUACCAAGCUUUAUCCACAAAAGUAAAGAAUUGAUGAAAACCAGUGAAGAUCAAACGUUCAUCUCAACUGCUUUUACAAAAGCAGAAUAAAAUGAAGUAAAAAUUCUACAUUAAUCCUGGAGUAAAAAGAAGCUGAGCUUACUGAGAGGAGUGGGAUCGAGUGGCUUGAGAGGCGGUGCAGUAUGCCAAUCUUUCGUUUGCCUCAGACAGGUUUCUCUUCAUAAGCAGAAGAGUUGCUUCAUUUCAUCUCGGAGCAGGAAACAGCAGACUGCUGUUAACAGAUAAGUUUAACUUGAAUCUGCAGUAUUGCAUGGUAGGGAUAAAUAUAGCUGUCUUAAGUUAAGAGGAGGUAUUGAAUGUUACUCACCUGACCCCUUCCUAGGGGGCUCAGGAUUGUGAGCAGUUUUCCCAUCCAGCCUCUUAAGAAUUCUAAGCCUUGUGCCAGUGGGCUUUCAUGAUGGGAUAGUAAGUAAGUAAACAGGCUUUUGCAUCCUAAAUUUCACCGCAAAAGCCUCAAAACAUGAUUAGUGCCUGCUUUAAUUACAUUUUUUACAAAAUUAAGGAAUCUUUACCAAUUGAACCUGAAGACCCCAUGAAAGGGACAUUUAAUGUGCUGAAAGUCAGAUGUUCAUAUUGCUAAAAUUUAAAUGUGCUCGAUGUACUUGUGCUUAAAAUCAUUAAAUCAUACAAAUUAAUAAAAUACUUCACUAGAGAAUGUAUGUAUUUAGAAGGCUGUCUCCUUAUUUAAAUAAAGUUUUGUUUGUUGUCUGUAGUUAGUGUUGGGCAAUUUUGGGGGGAAUGUUCUUCUCUAAUCUUUGCAGAAACUUUGGCUUCGAACACUUAAAUGGACAAGAUCAGGACUUGAGCAGAAGACCGAAUUUAACAUUCAGGCAGGAAAGACAAAUUUUAUUCUCCAUGCAGUGAUGAGCAUUUAAUAAUUGCAGGCCUGGCAUAGAGGCCCUUUAAGGACUAAGUACCUUAGGCAGGUUGGAAAUGAUGGUCAGAUAAAAGGUAACUACAUAUUUUGUUUCCAGAAAGUCAGGGGUCUUAUUUGACCAUGGCUAAACAUCUAGGGUAAGAUACUUUCCCAAUUAUCAAAUGUGCAUGUUGAGUUUAAAUGCUUAGACCAUCUCAUCCACGUUAGACUUUUGUCACCUCACUUGAGCCACGAGUUGGGGCAUGUGGGUUUUUAAAGAGUUUUCCUUUGCAGAGGCCUCAUUUCAUCCUUCAUGGAGCUGCUCAGGACUUUGAUUGCAUAUAAGCGCUUGCCUCUUGUCUUCUGCUCUGCUAGUGAGUGUGUGAGACCUUGCAGUGAGUUUGUUUUUCCUGGAAUUGGAGGGAAGGGAGGAGGGGGAUGGGGCUUACUUGUUCUAGCUUUUUUUUACAGACCACACAGAAUGCAGGUGUCUUGACUUCAGGUCUUGUCUGUUCUUUGGCAAGUAAUAUGUGCAGUACUGUUCCAAUCUGCUGCUAUUAGAAUGCAUUGUGCCACGACUGGAGUAUGAUUAAAGUUGUGUUUCCCCAAAUGUUUGGAGUAGUGAUUGUUGGAGGAGAACCCAUGAGUAAUACAGGCUGAGUGUUGAGGAAAUGGCUCUGCAGCUUUAAGUAACACGUGUUUGUGAUUGAAGCCAAGUCCCUUUGCUGUGCUGCUUUAGGUAAAUGUUUUUGUUCAUUUCUGGUGAGGGGGGGUUGGGAGCACUGAAGCCUUUAGUCUCUUCCAGAUUCAACCUAAAAUCUGACAAGAAAUAAAUUCAGACAAGCAACAUUCUUGAAGAAAUUUAACUGGCAAGUGGAAAUGUUCUUAACAGUUCCGUGGUCUUUAGUGCAUUGUCUCUGUAGGUGUCUCUCUCCCCUCCCUUGGUCUUAAUUCUUACAUGCAGGAACAUUGAAAACAGCAGACAUCUAUUCGAGGGCCCAGAGAAGCCAGACCCAGUAAGGAAAAAUAGCCUAUUUACUUUAAAUCGAUAAAAGUGAACCAGACAUUCCAUUAUCAAUGUGGGGAUUGGGAAGCCCUAGUUCUUUCAGAUGUACUUCAAACUAGAAGGAGCUUCCAGUUGAAUUCACCAGUGGACAAAUGAUGACAACAGGUGAACAAGCCUUUUCUUGUUUAAGAUUAGUUACUGGUAAAUUAGUGUUGAAUUCUCUUCAGCUUCAUGCUGAAGCAGCUAGCAUGUAAUGUUUUGUUGGCCUUGGGGUGGAGGGGUGAGGUGGGCGCUAAGCCUUUUUUUAAGAUUUUCCAGGUACCCCUCACUAAAGGCACUGAAGGCUUAAUGUAGCACAGCGGAGCCUUCCUGUGGCAAGAGUCAAGCAAGCAAAGUGGUAUCAUGGUUGGUUUUGAUUAGCAGUGAGGACUACCCUACCUCAACACCUUGCUGGAGUUGAAAGAAACAUUCAAAGAAAAUACUUGAGAGGCCCUGGGCUUGUUUUAACAUCUGGAAAAGCUGUUUUUAUAGCAGCUGUUAGCAGCCCAAACCUCAAGUUGUGCUUGAAGGGGAGGGAAAAGGGGGAAAGUGGGCAACCAGUUUUCCCUAGCUUUUCCAGAGUCCUGUUACAAGGUCUCCCCACAAGUGAUUCUCUGCCACAUCGACACCCUGUGCCUUUGGCCUAAUCACAGACCCUUCACCCCUCACCUUGAUGCAGCCAGUAGCUGGAUCCUUGAGGUCAUGAUGCGUAAUCGGUUUCAAGGUAACCAUGGUGCCAAGGUCCCGUGGGUUGCACCAGACAGAGAAGGCCAUUUUUUCCCCUUGCCUGUUAAUUUAACAAGACCACAGCUCAGUAGCUAAGGUGUUUUAUAUGCAUAGCACCUAUUCAGACUAAACAAACCAGUCAAGGGUAUAGUAAUAGCAAUGUUUGAUACAAAUGCUGGGUGGGAAUGAGGUCAGCUGAAGGCAAGCCUUUGUAGGGAAGCUGUUGGGGUGGGAUUGCAAAAUUUCUCUGCUAAGACUUUUUCAGGUGGACAUAGCAGACUUGGCCAAGCUAGCAUCUUAGCGGAAGCAGAUUCUUCAUUAGGGUUGUAAAGGUUUUUCUUUUCCUGAGAAAACAAACUUUGUUUUCUCAGGUUUUGCUUUUUGGCCUUUCCCUAG
rnacentral:lncRNA from 1 species